GGAGUGAUUUUAAAGGAUAAUUUAAUUAUUUUUACUAUCCUUUUUAUAGUGAAAUUAUUUAAAGAGAAAGGUUUACAAUUUUGAAACUUUCAUAAUAAUAUAAAUAGCAUUAACCUUAUAAAAAUAUAUAUGAAUAUGAUAAUAAAUUAGUUAAAGUAAUUACUUUUAUUUUAACUCUUCUUCAAGAAUGUCAUCAUUUCUUUUAUUUUCCUUAAAAAUAAAAACAAAAAAGCCAAAAACAAAAGAAAAGAAAACAAACAUUAUUAAUUCAUUAUUGUACAUUUAUACUUGUAAAUAGAAGGUGGACUCGAAGAGUCUGGAAGGAGAGCGAGAGAGAAGAAGACGAUGACGACUCGAAUAGCUCCGGGGGUCGGAGCGAACCUGCUCGGCCAACACUCUGCUGAAAGGGACCAAGAAGCCACCGUCUACGUCGGCAACCUCGAUCCUCAGUAUAAAGCCAUUCUGUGUUGCAUAAGUUACUAGUGGUUGUGAUUACCGGAUAUCCUUUUUCAUAUCAAAGGUAACUGAAGAGUUACUGUGGGAAUUGUUUGUUCAAGCAGGCCCUGUUGUUAAUGUUUAUGUCCCCAAGGAUAGAGUCAUGAAUCUUCAUCAAGGAUAUGGCUUUAUUGAAUUCCAAAGUGAAGAAGAUGCCGACUAUGCUAUAAAAGUUCUAAAUAUGAUUAAACUUUAUGGGAAGCCCAUACGAGUGAAUAAGGCGUCCCAAGAUAAAAAGAGCUUGGCUGUUGGAGCCAACCUUUUUGUUGGCAAUCUUGACCCUGUAAGAUUGUAGAUUUUUGAAACUACUUGCUCAAACCUA